GACUCCAAGUUAGGGUCUAGAACUCUAAGUCAGGUUUUGACUCUAAGUCGGGGUCGACCAAUUCCAAAUCAAGCUUUCCGGUGUAAGUAAUUGGUUUUCAACGGAAAUACGACUUUUUGGUGGAGUUUUUAUACAAGACCAGUUGGAGAUGAAAGCUAAGAUCUUGAAGAUGAUUGUGGAAUUUUUCUAGAAUUUUCGGAGCAGCCAAUGAGAGCAGUCUUCGAAGUUAAGUCAGCAUAAGGUGCAAUCCCAUCAAAACUGUGCUUUUGUGGAAGAAUGAUUAUUUGAUGACUUUCCUGAUUUUCCUCAAGGUGUACGAUAUAUGGCUGGAAAGAUAAGACAAACACCUACAAUUUACAUAUUUUUCUCGAAUUUUCCUGGAGGAGGAACGACCCCAAACGUGCUUGCAAAGAAACUGACUUGUUAUCCCAGUCAAAGUAGGAAGAGGAGUCAAUUACUUACCCAUUUUGUAUUUAUGUUUUAAUUAGGUUUUUCUUUAUUUUUGGGCUGUUGUAAAAGCCCAGCUAAGGUAGGAAUAGACGUGUGGUGUUUUAUUUAAGCAUGAGAAACAACUCCUUUGGGGUCAUGCAAAGACUAGAAGAAAUUGGAGACGUUGGAAGAGUAUCACAAUUGGUUAAAUUUAAUUUUUUUUUCUUCUUCAUGUUUUUGCUUAUGCCGAAUUCUAUGAUUAUGUGUAACUAAUUUUCUAUUGCUAGGGCAUGAUGUAGCCCUAGUAUGAUAAUCUAGUUUUCUUAUUUUACA